rnacentral:rRNA from 1 species
AGCGAACGCUGGCGGCAGGCCUAAUACAUGCAAGUCGAGCGCCCUUUCGGGGGAGCGGCGGACGGGUGAGUAACGCGUGGGAACGUGCCCUUUGCUACGGAACAACUGAGGGAAACUUCAGCUAAUACCGUAUGUGCCCUUCGGGGGAAAGAUUUAUCGGCAUUGGAGCGGCCCGCGUUGGAUUAGGUAGUUGGUGAGGUAAAGGCUCACCAAGCCUACGAUCCAUAGCUGGUCUGAGAGGAUGAUCAGCCACACUGGGACUGAGACACGGCCCAGACUCCUACGGGAGGCAGCAGUGGGGAAUCUUGCGCUAAUGCGGGAAACCGUGACGCAGCGACGCCGCGUGAGGGAAGAAGGCCUUC